UCACCCAGUCGGUGGUGAACGGCGCUCCGUUGGCCAUCAGGUUCCUGACCUCAUCGUCUUGACCUUUGCGAGCCGCCUCCAGCAGACGCUUCCCGAGGUCCACCAGUGACAUCUGAACACAACACGGCAAACGGUUCCCGGAAGAUUACGUCCCCUCGCGUGAAUCGGAUUCUCCGGUAGCUCACCUGCCGCGAAGGGUUUUUCAAAAGGGUUAUUUCUGUGUUUUUAUUUCUGUUACAAAUAUGGCGGCCUUGCGACACCGGAGGAGGAAGCCAGAGUGGGUUAACCUCCCUGUGGGCGGGCUCUGUGUCCGCCCCGCUUUAGCAGACCUCAGGUCAGUGUGAGCGGUGGCUCACAUCGAAGUGCGCGGAAACACCGAGGCAGCCGCUGACCUCCGAUCAGCCGGGAGAAGGUUCGCGUUGCUGCCUGCAGAGCUCAAGCGUCUCUGAUGUUCAACUGAAGCGCUUUGGGUCUGAUUUAGAGAAACGUAUCAAUCAUUUGACAUUUUUACCAAUAUUUUAAAUGAAGCUGAUCGAAGUGAUUUUAUGAUACAUUUGUUUUUUUUCAUCCAUAUUGUAAUUUUUUGUAAUGUAUGUCUUGAUUUUUUUUUCACUACCCAAUGUUUUAAGAGAAAGAUCAUUACUACUUUUAUUUGUAAUUUAUUGACCAAAUAAACAGCCUUUAUCAAAACAAAAGAGCCUUUAGAUUGUGUGUACUAUUAAUGUAACAUUUAUUUGACACCUUUGUGGAAUUACAUUUCUAUUAAGAUAUU